UACGUAGGGUGCAAGCGUUAAUCGGAAUUACUGGGCGUAAAGCGUGCGCAGGCGGCUAUGCAAGACAGAUGUGAAAUCCCCGGGCUCAACCUGGGAACUGCAUUUGUGACUGCAUGGCUAGAGUACGGUAGAGGGGGAUGGAAUUCCGCGUGUAGCAGUGAAAUGCGUAGAUAUUCGGAAGAACACCAGUGGCGAAGGCGGCUCACUGGCCCGUUACCGACGCUCAGGCGCGACAGCGUGGGGAGCAAACAGG
rnacentral:rRNA from 1 species